GAUGAACGCUAGCUACGGGCUUAACACAUGCAAGUCGCGGGGCAGCAUGGGGGUUGCUUGCAAUCCCCGAUGGCGACCGGCGCACGGGUGAGUAACGCGUAUUCAACCUGCCCUUCACCACGGGAUAACCCGGCGAAAGUCGGACUAAUACCGUAUGUUGUCCAUUGACGGCAUCCGAUUUGGAAGAAAGGCUGGGCGGUGAGGGAUGGGGAUGCGUCCGAUUAGCCAGACGGCGGGGUAACGGCCCACCGUGGCUACGAUCGGUAGGGGUUCUGAGAGGAAGGUCCCCCACACUGGAACUGAGACACGGUCCAGACUCCUACGGGAGGCAGCAGUGAGGAAUAUUGGUCAAUGGGCGUAAGUCUGAACCAGCCAAGUAGCGUGCAGGAUGACGGCCCUAUGGGUUGUAAACUGCUUUUAUGCGGGGAUAAAGUGGCCCACGUGUGGGCUUUUGCAGGUACCGCAUGAAUAAGGACCGGCUAAUUCCGUG
rnacentral:rRNA from 1 species